AGGAGAGUUUGAUCCUGGCUCAGGAUGAACGCUGGCGGCGUGCUUAACACAUGCAAGUCGAGCGAGAAGAAGCUGAACAGAGAUUCGUCAACGAGAAGCUUCAGACAGCGGCGGACGGGUGAGUAACGCGUAGGUAACCUACCUUUAGCUGAGGGAUAACCCAGGGAAACUUGGGAUAAUACCACAUAAUGCGGUUUGGUCACAUGGCCGGAUCGCCAAAGAUUUAUCGGCAAAAGAUGGACCUGCGUCUGAUUAGCCAGUUGGUGGGGUAACGGCCUACCAAAGCGACGAUCAGUAGCCGACCUGAGAGGGUGAUCGGCCACAUUGGAACUGAGACACGGUCCAAACUCCUACGGGAGGCAGCAGUGGGGAAUAUUGCACAAUGGGCGCAAGCCUGAUGCAGCAACGCCGCGUGAGCGAAGAAGGUCUUCGGAUUGUAAAGCUCUGUCCUUGGGGACGAAGAAGUGACGGUACCCGAGGAGGAAGCCCCGGCUAACUACGUGCCAGCAGCCGCGGUAAUACGUAGGGGGCGAGCGUUAUCCGGAAUUAUUGGGCGUAAAGAGUACGUAGGUGGCCACCUAAGCGCAAGGUGAAAGCCCGAGGCUUAACCUCGGCGAGCCUUGUGAACUGGGCGGCUUGAGUGCAGGAGGGGAAAGUGGAAUUCCUAGUGUAGCGGUGAAAUGCGUAGAUAUUAGGAGGAACACCAGUGGCGAAGGCGACUUUCUGGACUGUAACUGACACUGAGGUACGAAAGCGUGGGGAGCAAACAGGAUUAGAUACCCUGGUAGUCCCCU
rnacentral:rRNA from 1 species